CUUUAAUUUGUUAUUGUUAUUAUGUAAUAAAUGUCUGACAGUUUCAGUUUGAAAAACGCAGUAUCGGUGACAAAGCUGUAAGACAGAGGCCCAAGCCUAAAAGACGUCGUGCUGGUGACAAAACUAAUUCCAAACAUGAUAACUUUGAGAAUAUCAAGAGGCGGGUUAAAAAACUCCAAAGGCGAAUAUGAAAACCUACUGACCACGCGGAGAGGAUAACAACAGCUACCAAAUAUGGCAAUCCUAAUUAUCAUUUAUUCAAUCCUAUUCAUAAGUUAUAUAAGAUAUUUUUAGAUAAUAUAUGUUUAUAAGAUAAAUUAUGUCUAAAAAAGAUACUGUAUUUUAUGUUGGUUAAAUACUUCAUUUACUUUGAAAAUAUAUCUUUUGGUUUGGUUUGGUAUUGUUUAACGUUCCAUAUGUAUUAACAGCUAAGGUCAUUUAAGGACGACCUCCUCGUGUGCAAGAUAAACAUUUUAGAUAUAAGAUGUUUUAUACAAGUAAUAUCCGUACCAUUGUUCUAUAUGCCAGUAAAGGUACAACUGUAGUGACGAAUCAUGCAUUUUACAUUUGUAAUUAAAUGAAUGUCAAUAUGA